rnacentral:rRNA from 1 species
CUACGGGGCGCUGCAGUGAGGAAUAUUGCACAAUGGGGGGAACCCUGAUGCAGCAACGCCGCGUGGAGGAUGACGCAUUUCGGUGUGUAAACUCCUUUUAUAUGUCAAGAAAAUGACGGUAGCAUAUGAAUAAGCACCGGCUAACUCCGUGCCAGCAGCCGCGGUAAUACGGAGGGUGCAAGCGUUACUCGGAAUCGCUGGGCGUAAAGGACGCGUAGGCGGGUUGGAAAGUCAGGUGUGAAAUCCUACAGCUUAACUGUAGAACUGCACUUGAAACUUCUAAUCUAGAGUAUGGGAGGGGGAGAUGGAAUUAGUGGUGUAGGGGUAAAAUCCGUAGAUAUCACUAGGAAUACCUAAAGCGAAGGCGAUCUCCUGGAACAUUGCUGACGCUAAGGCGUGAAAGCGUGGGGAGCAAACAGGAUUAGAUACCCCUGUAGUC